GGCUAUGAACAAACCAGGACACUAAAACAAGAAAGUCAUGUCUUGAGAAGAGAGAAUUUGUGCAUCCGUCUGUACGUCCAGCGGUCUGUGAGUCUGUUUGUUCAAGAACGCCUCCAGAAGGCUCUAUUGAAAUGUGGACUGCUUGCCUAUACAGGAGAGUAAGAGG